GUAAAAAGCAAAGUAACAUGCCAGGUUCAAGUUCUUCAUAUUCAUCGACAGCUUUCACUUCUAGCACAAUGAAAGAGAAAAUACUCAUAACAUCACCUGUCACGGGAAAAAGAAGAAAAAUAGCUCCAAAUUGAUGCUGGGUAUAAAUGUCCAAUUUGUGCAAACUGUUCUCUUCCCAUAAAGUUGACCUUGCCUUGGCUGAUCCACUUGUUUAAAUUUUCAUUAUGGUGGUGUGCUGGCAUUUUACUCAUUAUCUUCUCAUGAAACAGGGACAAUUUUUCAUGACGAAGG
rnacentral:misc_RNA from 1 species